rnacentral:rRNA from 1 species
GCCUCCCUCGCCGCCAUCAGACUCCUACGGGGGCAGCAGUAAGGAAUAUUGGUCAAUGGACGCAAGUCUGAACCAGCCAUGCCGCGUGGAGGAUGAAGGCCCUCUGGGUUGUAAACUUCUUUUAUUUGGAAGAAACCAUCUUUCUAAGGUGGUUGACGGUACCAGACGAAUAAGCACCGGCUAACUCCGUGCCAGCCGCCGCGUAAUAC